GACGAACGCUGGCGGCGUGCUUAACACAUGCAAGUCGAACGGUAAGGCCCUUCGGGGUACACGAGUUGCGAACGGGUGAGUACCACGUGGGUGAUCUGCCCUGCACUUCGGGAUAAGCCUGGGAAACUGGGUCUAAUACCGGAUAGGACCACUGCCUGCAUGGGUGGUGGUGGAAAGCUUUUGCGGUGUGGGAUGGGCCCGCGGCCUAUCAGCUUGUUGGGGGGGUGAUGGCCUACCAAGGCGACGACGGGUAGCCGGCCUGAGAGGGUGACCGGACACACUGGGACUGAGAUACGUCCCAGACUCCUACGGGAGGCAGCAGUGGGGAAUAUUGGACAAGGGGCGCAAGCCUGAUGCAGCGACGCCGCGUGAGGGAUGACGGCCUUCGGGUUGUAAACCUCUUUCAGCACCGACGAAGCGCAAGUGACGGUAGGUGCAGAAGAAGGACCGGCCAACUACGUGCCAGCAGCCGCGGUAA
rnacentral:rRNA from 1 species